AAAGGCCAACUCACUAGCAUUGCAUAUGGGUCCAUACCCAAAUGUUGUACUAGUCAAGGAAAGAUCGAAAAGGUAAAAAAAUGCAAAGGAAAGAUCAAAACCUGAAAGGCAAAAACAGUAAAAAAAAAAAAGAAGAAGGUGAGAAAUUAUAGAUGAAAAGAAGCAUAUGGAGGAAUAAAAACAAGCUGAAGGGGCGUCCAUAUGAAGACAAAGGGAUGGAAAGAGAUAAGAGAAAUAUUUCUACCUAUGCUUUUGGUUACAACCAGGAACUGUCAGCUUUAUAUUCUUCAUCAUUCUUCUUCUUCAGCUUUAUAUAAAGCAAGCAAUGAAUUUGGCAAGAGGAAAAGGCCAUUCGAUUGAUGACAUUGGUUGAAGAAAAAGUAGAUUUGGUCUCUGGAAG